ACGGAGAAAGGGGCUUGCUCCUUAUUUUAGUGGCGCACGGGUGAGUAACGCGUGGAUAAUCUGCCUGAUGCUCUGGGAUAACAUCUCGAAAGGGGUGCUAAUACCGGAUAAGCCCACGGGAUCUUCGGAUUUUGCGGGAAAAGGAGGGGACCUUCGGGCCUUCCGACAUCAGAUGAGUCCGCGUCCCAUUAGCUAGUUGGUGGUGUAAUGGACCACCAAGGCGACGAUGGGUAGCUGGUCUGAGAGGAUGAUCAGCCACACUGGAACUGAGACACGGUCCAGACUCCUACGGGAGGCAGCAGUGGGGAAUUUUGCGCAAUGGGGGAAACCCUGACGCAGCAACGCCGCGUGAGUGAUGAAGGCUUUCGGGUCGUAAAGCUCUGUCAGAAGGGAAGAAAUGUGGGUGGCUAAUAUCCAUUCCACUUGACGGUACCUUCAAAGGAAGCACCGGCUAACUCCGUGCCAGCAGCCGCGGUAAUACGGAGGGUGCGAGCGUUGUUCGGAAUUAUUGGGCGUAAAGCGCGUGUAGGCGGUUUUUUAAGUCUGAUGUGAAAGCCCUGGGCUCAACCUGGGAAGUGCAUUGGAUACUGGAAGACUUGAGUACGGGAGAGGGUAGUGGAAUUCCUAGUGUAGGAGUGAAAUCCGUAGAUAUUAGGAGGAACACCGGUGGCGAAGGCGGCUGCCUGGACGAUACUGACGCUGAGACGCGAAGCGUGGGAGCAAACAGAUAGAUACCUGGUA
rnacentral:rRNA from 1 species